rnacentral:rRNA from 1 species
AGUGAACGCUGGCGGUAGGCCUAACACAUGCAAGUCGAACGGCAGCACAGGAGAGCUUGCUCUCUGGGUGGCGAGUGGCGGACGGGUGAGGAAUACAUCGGAAUCUACCUUUUCGUGGGGGAUAACGUAGGGAAACUUACGCUAAUACCGCAUACGACCUUCGGGUGAAAGCAGGGGACCUUCGGGCCUUGCGCGGAUAGAUGAGCCGAUGUCGGAUUAGCUAGUUGGCGGGGUAAAGGCCCACCAAGGCGACGAUCCGUAGCUGGUCUGAGAGGAUGAUCAGCCACACUGGAACUGGGACACGAUCCAGACUCCUACGGGAGGCAGCAGUGGGGAAUAUUGGACAAUGGGCGCAAGCCUGAUCCAGCCAUACCGCGUGGGUGAAGAAGGCCUUCGGGUUGUAAAGCCCUUUUGUUGGGAAAGAAAAGCAGCCAGUUAAUACCUGGUUGUUCUGACGGUACCCAAAGAAUAAGCACCGGCUAACUUCGUGCCAGCCGCCGCAGUAA